rnacentral:lncRNA from 10 species
ACAGUGAACAGCAUGGAGCACUUGCUGCGUGUCUGGCCAUCUCAGGGACAGAUGUCACAUUUGUUGCUGUAGCUGGACUUUAUCUUCUAUUCCGUUGGUCUGCCUAUCUAGAAAGCAAAAUUUCAAAUACUGAGACCGAUAGAUGAAGAUGCUUUCGCUUCUUCCCUGUUUCAUCCAGUUGGGGACUAAGUGUCCUUCGGUUUGGACUGUGCAGCUCGGGUCACCUUCUCUGUGGAACAGCAAGUGAAGAAAGAGGCGCAGAGCCCUGUGUUCCAAACCCUGGAGACAAUUGAGAAAGUGGGAACCCAUUAUUCCCCAAGCCCAGCCAGCAAACCUCACCGAUGAAACAGAUAAGCACUUCCUGCAGGUGGGGCCGACACUGGCCAGGACACAGCCCUCUCUCUCACAGCAGUGUUCCAGGUUGUUUGUGCACAAAAUUUCACAAAGGUCAGAGCUCGUCUCUCCAAACCGAUGAGCUUUGCGGUUAACCUGAAUUCACUGAACUGGGAUUUAUUAUUAUUAUUCUAUUUUACCUCUAACAGAAGUUUAAGGUUCGUGUAAGUUUCGUUCCUCUCUGAUUGUAGGGGAGACGCCCAGAGCGCCAUUUGGAGGAGAGAACCUGGCAUCCUUUCCUUACCUUGAUUUCAGGUACCC